GAAUUCGCCCUUAGAGGGGGAUCCUGGCUCAGGAUGAACGCUGGCGGCGUGCUUAACACAUGCAAGUUGAACGAAGCUCAUGGGAUUGACUCCUUCGGGAGGAUAUUCUUUGAGACUUAGUGGCGAACGGGUGAGUAACACGUGAGCAACCAACCCCUGACAGUGGAAUAACAACGGGAAACCGUUGCUAAUACCGCAUAAUAUCCUGGUAUGGCAUCAUAUGGGGAUCAAAGAUUUAUCGGUCAGGGACGGGCUCGCGUCCGAUUAGGUAGUAGGUAAGGUAACGGCUUACCUAGCCUGCGAUCGGUAGCCGGACUGAGAGGUCGAUCGGCCACAUUGGGACUGAGAUACGGCCCAGACUCCUACGGGAGGCAGCAGUGGGGAAUAUUGGACAAUGGGGGAAACCCUGAUCCAGCAACGCCGCGUGGAGGAUGACGCAUCUAGGUGUGUAAACUCCUUUUAUAAGGGAAGAUAAUGACGGUACCUUAUGAAUAAGCACCGGCUAACUCCGUGCCAGCAGCCGCGGUAAUACGGGGGGUGCAAGCGUUACUCGGAAUCACUGGGCGUAAAGGGCGCGUAGGCGGGUUGUCAAGUUCCGUGUGAAAUCCAACGGCUUAACCGUUGAACUGCUUGGAAAACUGACAGCCUAGAGUGAGGGAGAGGUAGAUGGAAUUGGUGGUGUAGGGGUAAAAUCCGUAGAUAUCACCAGGAAUACCCAUUGCGAAGGCGAUCUACUGGAACUCAACUGACGCUGAGGCGCGAAAGCGUGGGGAGCAAACAGAAUUAGAUACCCUGGUAGUCCACGC
rnacentral:rRNA from 1 species